rnacentral:rRNA from 1 species
GAAGAACCUUACCUGGGUUUGACAUGUACCGGAAACACCUAGAGAUAGGUGCCCCCUUGUGGUCGGUACACAGGUGGUGCAUGGCUGUUGUCAGCUCGUGUCGUGAGAUGUUGGGUUAAGUCCCGCAACGAGCGCAACCCUCGUCCUAUGUUGCCAGCGGGUAAUGCCGGGGACUCAUAGGAGACUGCCGGGGUCAACUCGGAGGAAGGUGGGGAUGACGUCAAGUCAUCAUGCCCCUUAUGUCCAGGGCUUCACGCAUGCUACAAUGGCCGGUACAAAGGGCUGCCAACCCGCAAGGGCGAGCGAAUCUCAAAAAGCCGGUCAGUUCGGAUUGGGGUCUGCAACUCGACCC